CCUCUAUCAAAGAUGUUUCCAGUAGCAUGAUACCUGAAAUGUAUGUACCUUAUACUAUAUGCCUAUAUCCUCAUACAUUGGUCUCUUUAUGGUGAUAGGACAUUCUCUUUUUGAUACUUGAGCUAAGGGUCUAUCGGAAACAACCUCUCUACCUUCACAAGGUAGGGGUAAGGCUGAUUAUACACCACCCUCCCAAACCUCACUUGUGGGAUUUCACUGGGUAUGUUGUUGUUAUCAUGACUGGAACGUUCAAUAGAUCAAGACAACUAAAUUUCAUAGAUGAUGUGGAUGCUGCUUUCCGUUCGAAACAUCUAUGACUUAUCUCAACCUAAACUGGUGAAAAUGUGCAGUUGUGCACAGAGGUGUGGUUCUUCACACUUGUCUCGGAUCUUUCCUCAGGUCCCCAACUUUGUAAUACUCUGUUAAGGCCAUUUGACAUCACCUACCACACACCACCAAAUUCAGAAACAUGCAUCAGAUUUUCCGUUUCUUCCCAGUGUGUAGAGCAGCCAAUUCAGCCAACUCAGUACAUUAUCAUCUCAGUUUUCUUUGAAAAAUAAUAUGGCAUAUUUAGAAUUACAAUAUGAGGAUAUCUGCUCCAGAUUACACAAAAGGGUCUAGAUGAGGACACCACAAGUAAAAUUAUAUGAAACUUAUCUUUUUCAAGUUUAUAUUGACAUAAAUGAUCAAUUCUUAAUUUUUUAUGAAACACAGCCCGUUGAUGCCUUUUCAGCUGUCAUGGGUGCCUAACAUCCGAGACGUGUAAGACUGCUUGGAGGGCAGUUACAAAGACUUGUUUGAAAAUCUUAAAUUGUAGCUCCGGACAAACUUUAAAUGCCACAAAUGAUGUUGUGCAAAAAAUUCAAGAAAGGAUGCAAAAAAUGGAGGAUCAAAUCAGGAGCAAAAGAGAACAAUUCAACAAGAAGUUGUUGCAGAUGUAAUUGCUCAACUUCAGAAUGCAGGAAUAAUUGAUCUGAAGAUACUGGCGGCAUUGUCCAUUCCUUCACCAACGGAAUCGACUUCUACACUAGCAGCCUGUCGAAACAGUCAAGGUGAUCAUGACAUACAAGAUGGUGGGAACAAAAUUGAUGAACUAGACUUGACUUAAGAGAUUGAUCACAUUGGCUUCAUGCCACACUAGCUGUUCGAAAAACUUGUGUAUAUUUUGAUUGAGAUCGAUCACAUUUGACCGACUAUAUAUACAUAGUUUCAAUCA